rnacentral:rRNA from 1 species
GAUGAACGCUGGCGGCGUGCCUAAUACAUGCAAGUCGAGCGAACGGACGAGAAGCUUGCUUCUCUGAUGUUAGCGGCGGACGGGUGAGUAACACGUGGAUAACCUACCUAUAAGACUAGGAUAACUUCGGGAAACCGGAGCUAAUACCGGAUGAUAUUUUGAACCGCAUGGUUCAAAAGUGAAAGACGGUCUUGAUGUCACUUAUAGAUGGAUCCGCGCUGCAUUAGCUAGUUGGUAAGGUAACGGCUUACCAAGGCAACGAUGCAUAGCCGACCUGAGAGGGUGAGCGGCCACACUGGAACUGAGACACGGUCCAGACGCCUACGGGAGGCAGCAGUAGGGAAUCUUCCGCAAUGGGCGAAAGCCUGACGGAGCAACGCCGCGUGAGUGAUGAAGGUCUUCGGAUCGUAAAACUCUGUUAUUAGGGAAGAACAUAUGUGUAAGUAACUGUGCACAUCUUGACGGUACCUAAUCAGAAAGCCACGGCUAACUACGUG